AAAGAAUUGAAAAUGCGAAAAACACCUAAAAUAUCAAUAGUUUGAAGGAAAAUCUUUCAUUUCCUCCAAAACUCUUAAACUGAGUUACCGAUCCUUUGAAGUAAAGUCUCAAUACUUUGCAUCCCAAGAACAGCCUCAGCAGCAGAGGUCUUCCUUCGAUUCUUCUUCAUAAUUCCCAAGAGGUAAAUUAAGGAUUUCUUCAUUGUUGCGAUUUUCGUCUUAUUUAUGCUUCAAAUGUGAUUUUGCUUAAUGGGUUUAGUGAUUGAACUGUUUUUUUUAUUAUUAUUUAGGUGUUAAUCGCAUGUUAUUUUGCUCAAUGGGUUUAUUUGGGUACAAUUAUUUUGAUCCAUCUCGGGAUUUUUUAGUAGAAGGGGAAAUGGCUGGAAGCUUGUAGUUGAACCGCUCCUUUUUUAUUCCAUUUUGGCUUUUUGAUAGAAUAUGAAAUGAAGUCCACCAUUUCAAACUAAAUGGAAUGAUGUCCUGACAAUCUUGCUCUACUUUUCUACUAUAGAAUUCUUGAAUCUGGUUUUGAAUAGAGCAAUGAGUUCAUAAAUGGGAAAUGGUGGAUGGGUAAACAAACACCCUUUCUAAGUGUAGUGGCAAGAUAGCACGGGAGGUCCGAAACAGAAAGUUUAAGGACACCCAAAUUGGAUUUAUGGGCUAGGAAAAUUGUGCAUUUGGAGACUAGAGGCAAGCACUGCGAAGGCAUUUUCAAUUCUUGAAAUUCUGCGUUCGCAGUCUUUUUGUGCUCACAUGAGAAAAGGGAUUGAAGUGAGGAUUGAGUGUGAAGAGUGGAUGAGUGGCUUUUAUAGGAGUGGGGCGUGUGGUUGGGUUCAUGCAUUUGCAGAGGUGGCUGGUUAAGGCUGAUGGAUGAGGAUUUUUAAAUGUAGCCGCUGGGGACUGCUGAUACUAAUAUUUGGGUUCACUUGGACAAAAUGUAUGACUGGAUGGGCACGUGUACUAAUAUCAGUAAGAAUUAGUGAUUUAAGCAUUCCACUAGCAAGUGGACUCGACAAAUGGUUGGAUAAGAAUCAGUGAUUUAAGCCUUCAAUUUUCACUUUGUAUGUUCAUUUUUAUAAGUAGAUAUACUUAUCUCUAUGUUUUUUUACAGAAAAAUAAAUCAAUAUUAACCGGUCACUUUAGUAUAUUAUUUUGGCCUUUUUUCUGCUGCUUCAUUUCUCCCCUGCAUAUUGGCCUCGGGGGCUGGCCAUCUUAGGGGCGAGUACAUUUCUUAAUAGGCCUGGGCAUGCAAUCUACUUGUGCAGAUAAAUAUGAUGUUCCAUUGUUGCAUUUACUCUAAUUUGUUGAUCCUAGUUGAUGAAUGGAAGAUUGCAUUUACUCUAACCAAUGUGAUUAUUGUUUUAUCUAAGAUCUUUUUUCGUUUCUGUGUCGUAGAGCUUGAGGCAAAGAUUCUUUAUUUUGUUUUAUUUCACUUUCUUAGCGUAGGGUGGGGUGCACUAAUUAGAAAUAGAUAAGUUCAUCUUCAUUUGCUUUUUAUAGAUGCAAUUUGAGGAAUUUGAAGAAUAAGAGACAAGUACUUUUAAAUCAUAUUAAUAGUGGGAUAGUUGGAAAAGACAAAUCAUAUGUAAUAUGAUUGAGAAAAUGAAAUAGCAGUACUACACCCAAUCUGGACAAGAAUUUGGAGAUGUUAUAUUAAUAGAAAGAUGGCAGGCAGUUGAACAUAGAGAUUAGGUGCCAAAGCUAAGCCCUUCUCAUGCUUGUAAAAUUAGGCGCUUUUCUAAUUCUUGUUCUUUCUUUCAAGCCCUGUUCUUUUCCGGGUUCUUGUAGUUUAUAGGUACGUGGCCUUUAGGUACCAGAUUCUUUUUUUGGGUUAUUUGUACUCUUUGAUUGUGGAUCUGUCUUGAGAAUUGCAUAAUUAUUGUAAGUUUUGUAUCAAGAUUUGAUUUUUGCACAAUGUUACCAUUACUUGAUCUCUGAUUACUCUUCAAAUAUGAAAUUAUUGGAUGCUAUUAUGAAACUGGUAUCUUUACUUUUUUGGGUGGCCCUUAAUUCAUGCUUCUAUUUUUUUCCCCCCAAGCUCACUUUUUUUUCAGGUUUUCUAGAAGUGAUUUUGAUUUUUAAUUCUUUAAGCUCUUAUAUUCAGAAAAGUAUUUGUUAGAAAUUGUGUGGUUGACCAGUAUUCUCUACUUGUGUAGUCUUUUUUGUAGGACCACUUCAAGUUAUUUCCUCUCUCUUCAUUUUCACAUGAGACAAUAGUUAUGAUAAAAGGAGCUUUUGAGUAUAUGGGGAGUUUGAAAUUUUCAUUUUUUGUUCUCAGAGAUUCAACUUUGUUAUAUUGAUUAUUGUUUCAAUUUUUAACAUGUUUGUUAUUUGGUAGCAUUGGAGGUGAAUAAAUGUUUUGAUGUUAAUAAAAAAGACAUCAUGGUUUUCUCGGAUUUAAUUAAAAGCAAAGUGAAUUUUUGCUCCUUCAAGCUUAUUUGUUGGUAGUGCCUUCUUCCUUUUUUUUGAGUUGUACCCAUGAAUAAUCUUUGGCCAUUGUAACAUACUGCUUCUAAUGCAGUGAAAUGUUGAGAUUUCCUAUUAGACGUAUAGAUGAGAUUCUUGCACUUCCUCAUUCAGCUUAUGAUUUCAAGGGUCUGAUAAGAGAUAAAAGGAGAUGAAACUUUAUGAUUUGAAGCAUAAGAAGAAACGGAUGUUAUUUUUUUAAUAUGAUACUUGAUUGUGAGUAUAAGACUACAAACAUUGGUGAUGUGCAAUUCAAUAUAGAAGGAAUUGUUUCACAAUUGUACAUACAAAUGUAUUGUUUACCUUAAAAGGACUAUAGAUUUUUUGAAGUAAUU
rnacentral:lncRNA from 1 species